rnacentral:lncRNA from 1 species
AAGGGACCAAUGGUCUAAUGCCCAACAAUCAAAAUUAACCCAAAAAUAAAAGAAAGUGAUAAACAAAAAAAUUGAAGAAAACAUAAUUCAUGUUAGCAGCUCCCCACGAGGCUCAACGUCUAUGCCUUCUUUAUUUUACCAAACUUUAAAAUGGACGAAUAACAAGGUGACACGUGGAAUGCUUAUUAAAAAAACAAAACAAAAAUAAUCCUCUCAUUCUCUCUUUCUCACGUUAUGCUUCUACAAUAACAAAAA